rnacentral:rRNA from 1 species
AUUGAACGCUGGCGGAAUGCUUUACACAUGCAGGUCGAGCGGCAGCGCGGGGCAACCUGGCGGCGAGCGGCGAACGGGUGAGUAAUACAUCGGAACGUGCCCAGACGUGGGGGAUAGCCCGGCGAAAGCCGGAUUAAUACCGCAUACGAUCUACGGAUGAAAGCGGGGGAUCGCAAGACCUCGCGCGUUUGGAGCGGCCGAUGGCAGAUUAGGUAGUUGGUGGGGUAAAGGCUUACCAAGCCUACGAUCUGUAGCUGGUCUGAGAGGACGACCAGCCACACUGGGACUGAGACACGGCCCAGACUCCUACGGGAGGCAGCAGUGGGGAAUUUUGGACAAUGGGCGAAAGCCUGAUCCAGCCAUUCCGCGUGCAGGAUGAAGGCCCUCGGGUUGUAAACUGCUUUUGUACGGAACGAAAAGGUCCUGGUUAAUACCCGGGGCUCAUGACGGUACCGUAAGAAUAAGCACCGGCUAACUACGUGCCAGCCGCCGCAGUAA